rnacentral:sRNA from 1 species
AGUUGUUUUAGGUGAUUUGGAGCUGUUUGCGAGCAAAUUGGAAGAAACGAGCCGGAACCAGAAGACAUACUCGACCCCCAGGUCGAGUGACUUCGGAGCCAUUCUUCCCACCUACUCGACCACUUGACAACACUCGACCGUUCACUCUACCACAUCACUCGACCCCAUGGUCGAGUAUCACUUCGCCACACCACCUUACAACACUCGACCGUUCACUCUACCACAUCACUCGACCCCAUGGUCGAGUAUCACUUCGCCACACCAUCACCAUCACUCGACCGGACACUCGAUCACGUCUUCACAGUCUACUCAAAUCCGCACUCAACCAGACAAGCUGAGCACAAGGAAGAGAAGAGGAGAAGACAAAGUGUUUGGAAGCGGCCUGGACCUCCAUCGGAUCACGAAGCCCGUCUCGGCCCAUUAUCUUUCUAUGGGCCGGGUAAUUAGGUUAUUGGCCCGUUUACCAUCAUUUUAUUUUGUUUUGUAUAAAUAGAUGUCUUAGGGUUCUGUCCUGAGACAUCCAGUCGACAUUGAGUUUUUGCUUCAGUUUUAUUUUCUGUUUUACUCUGCUGCGCCGCUUUUGCUUCUGCAACCUGUAAUUCGAGAUUUUUCCAAGUUAUUCAGAUUCCGCAUUUGAUUUCAUCUGUCAUCUUGUUUCUAUACUCUUUAUCUCUUUACUUAUGCAAUAUUAUCGUUUACCUGCGUUUAUGUCUUUAAGCAUUUUGUCUGAGUAGUGACUUAGAAUUCUUAGGGAUGGGAUAGAGUAGUUGUGGAAUCCGUAGUCUGUAGAAUGGUUAAGUUUUAGAAUUGAUUGAAUCCCUUCAGGACUAGUUGCGUUUACUGCUUAUUUCUUUAUGAUCAACUGGAAUUCAACCCAAGCAUUCCCGCACCCAGAAGGUGUUCGAUGGAAUGUUCGAUCGACUAGUUCCUGAGAUAUUCGUCUCUAUCCCAAGGGAUUGGCCGAUUAGAGCGUUUAUUGACUUUAUAAGUCUGUUCUUAUUGCCUGCAUAGUUAGAUUCCGUUAAUGGGAAUUAGUCUGGGCUAGCUUUGCUUGAGGAUUUCUAUCACGGGAGUGAAUUAAUCUGUUGUUGAACCUGUUGUCUAGGGAUAGCUUGAUUGCGCUUGUUAACCAUUCGAAUAGGCUAGGAUACCACUCUACUCGAUUACCCUAUCCUUAGGAAUUUCUCGUCUAUCUUAUUUCUCUGUUUUAUUGUUAUCGCUUAAUCGUUGUCAUUGCCUGUUUCUUAGUUUUUGCAAUUACUCGACCAACUUACUCGACCACACCCAGUGUCUGGCAACAGACUGUGCAGUCGAGUGCAGUUGUUUCAUUUCCUGUCUGUUACUCGACCAGUAUACUCGACCACACCCAGUGUCUAGCAACAGACUGUGCAGUCGAGUAUAUCUGUUUCAUAUCCUGCCUGUUACUCGACCACAUCCUACUCCUGGCAUUAGCCUGUUGUGGUCGAGUGAUUUUAGUAAUUCUGUUAUUCUUUCUGUUUUCUGCAUGUUCACUUAGGACUGUUAGAAACCCCAAAACUGUUAUUGCUUGGCUUGACUUAGUGACUUCUGAUCACAUCUCAUUUGUCUGCAUCACACCCAUUUGGAUUGACACCUAAAAUACUACAAUGACAUGAUAGGUGUUUUAGGAUAAUUGACCAUAAAAACCUAUUAUCAAUUUGGCGCUGUUAUCUUUUUCAUUUUUUCUGAAAGUUACUAACUUUGUGUUUUUUCUGUUUGUCUGUUUUGAUUUAGGUACUACGAUACCAGCUUUACAAGUUGGUACUCGUUGUAUGCAAAUACGGUCACGAGGAAAUCAGAAUCUCCUGUUCAACGAUAACAUCGACCGUAUUGCACGCCAACUCAGAACACAGACAGAAACAGAGACAAUGGCUGCAGUUGUUGAUGAGCAGGUGCAACCAAACAACAUAGGUGCAGGCGAUGCACCACGCAACCAGAAUCAGCGUAAUGGCAUCGUGCCUCCACCUGUGCAGAACAACAACUUUGAGAUCAAGAGCGGUCUCAUUGCCAUGGUUCAGAGCAACAAGUUCCACGGCCUCCCUAUGGAGGAUCCACUCGAUCACCUGGACGAGUUUGAUAGGCUCUACAGCCUAACAAAGAUCAAUGGAGUUAGUGAGGAUGGUUUCAAGCUCAGAUUGUUUCCAUUCUCUCUUGGAGACAAAGCACAUCAGUGGGAAAAGUCACUUCCUCAAGGCUCUAUCACCUCCUGGAAUGACUGCAAGAAAGCCUUCUUGGCUAAGUUUUUCUCAAACUCCAGGACUGCGAGACUAAGGAAUGAUAUCUCCAGUUUCACUCAAACGAAUAAUGAGACUUUCUGUGAAGCAUGGGAGCGCUUCAAAGGUUAUCAGACGCAAUGUCCUCAUCAUGGUUUCUCCAAAGCUUCACUUCUCAGCACUCUCUAUAGAGGUGUCCUUCCCAAGAUCAGAAUGCUUCUUGAUACCGCUUCCAACGGGAACUUCCUCAACAAAGACGUUGAAGAAGGAUGAGAGCUGGUAGAGAACUUAGCUCAGUCGGAUGGCAACUAUAAUGAAGAUUAUGACAGAAGCAUCCGCACCAGCUCUGAUUCUGAUGAGAAGCACCGCAGGGAAAUGAAAGCCAUGAAUGACAAACUGGACAAGCUACUCCUUGUGCAACAAAAGCACAUUCAUUUUCUGGGUGAUGAUGAGACAGUCCAAGUGCAGAACCAAGGAGGUCAGCUAUGUGCAGAACCAAGGAGGUUACAACAAAGGUUUCAACAACUUCAAGCAGAGCCAUCCAAAUCUGUCUUACAGGAGUACAAAUGUUGCAAACCCGCAUGACCAAGUCUACCCUUCACAGCAGCAAAAUCAACCCAAGCCCUUUGUUCAUACAACCAAGGUCAGGGGUAUGUUCCUAAGCCGCAGUAUCAGGGCAACUAUCAGCAGCAACUUCCACCACCUAGGUUCACACACCAGCAACAACAACUAGCUUCAACAACUCCAGAUUCAGACUUGAAGAACAUGUUACAGCAGAUUCUCUAGGGACAAGCUGCAGGUGCAAUGGAUCUUGCCAAAAAGAUGGCAAAAAUCCACAACAAGGUUGAUUGUACUUUCAAUGAUCUGAAUAUCAAACUUGAGGCACUUACCUCUAAGGUCAGAUACAUGGAAGGACAAACAGCGUCAACUUCUGCUCCAAAAGUAACAGGACUUCCAGGAAAGUCAAUACAGAACCCGAAGGAAUACGCCACCGCUCACGCUAUCACCAUCUGUCAUGAUCGAGAGCUGCCUACUCGACAUGUUUCCACAUCAAUCACCGAGGACAGUGAUGUUCAGGACGGGGAGGCUUCUACUCAGAUUGAAAUUUCAGUGGUUGGACUCGACCAUUCAGCUGGAUCCCGUUUUCAAACCGAGUCCAACCUAGACGAGAAAGCAGCCAUCAUUGAGAGGAUGGUAAAACGAUUCAAGCCAGCACCAUUACCUUCACGUGCUCUUCCAUAGAAAAUUCAGGAAAGCAUGUAUA